rnacentral:rRNA from 1 species
UACAGAGGGUGCGAGCGUUGUUCGGAAUUAUUGGGCGUAAAGGGCGCGUAGGCGGUGCCACAAGUCACUUGUGAAAUCCCCGGGCUUAACUCGGGGCCUGCAGGCGAAACUGUGGUGCUGGAGUAUGGGAGAGGUGCGUGGAAUUCCCGGUGUAGCGGUGAAAUGUGUAGAGAUCGGGAGGAACACCGGUGGCGAAGGCGGGUCUCUGGGCAAUUCCUGACGCUGAGGCGCGAAAGCGUGGGGAGCAAACGGG